rnacentral:rRNA from 1 species
UACGUAGGGGGCAAGCGUUGUUCGGAAUUACUGGGCGUAAAGGGCUCGUAGGCGGCCAACUAAGUCAGACGUGAAAUCCCUCGGCUUAACCGGGGAACUGCGUCUGAUACUGGAUGGCUAGAGGUUGGGAGAGGGAUGCGGAAUUCCAGGUGUAGCGGUGAAAUGCGUAGAUAUCUGGAGGAACACCGGUGGCGAAGGCGGCAUCCUGGACCAAUUCUGACGCUGAUGAGCGAAAGCCAGGGGAGCAAACGGG